AUUCCCAGGUUCCCUAACACUCAAGCCUAGCCCCUCAGUUUCUAGCAAGCAUCAAGCUUCACUGUGUGUCUAGCCUCUCAGGAGUCAGACCUGAGAAGUAUAGCUUGGUGGAAAUUCAGUGGCAGGGAAGAAAGAAGGAAGGAAAGAAGACUCUGAGCUGGAUUCAUACACAUCAUCGCAAUUCAUCCACACCACAGUCCUGUAAGAAGGCUGCAAAACAUACAGCAGAAAGGAUGGCUUGAAGGCAAUUGAUGUUUGUAAAAAAAUCCACAACAGGAUCCAAGCUGAAGAGGUGAACACGUCAGCCUGGUGGGACAAUUCUCAGCAUGUGCAAACAUAGGUCACGCCGAAGCAAGAGUUGGGCUCUCAUGGCCUUGG
rnacentral:lncRNA from 1 species